rnacentral:rRNA from 1 species
GAUGAACGCUGGCGGCGUGCUUAACACAUGCAAGUCGAACGAAGCAUUUAGAACAGAUUACUUCGGUUUGAAGUUCUUUAUGACUGAGUGGCGGACGGGUGAGUAACUCGUGGGUAACCUGCCUUGUCCUGGGGGAUAGCAGCUGGAAACGGCUGGUAAUACCGCAUAAGCGCACAAUGUUGCAUGACAUUGUGUGAAAAACUCCGGUGGUAUAAGAUGGACCCGCGUCUGAUUAGCUAGUUGGUGAGAUAACAGCCCACCAAGGCGACGAUCAGUAGCCGACAUGAGAGGCUGACCGGCCACAGUGGGACUGAGACACAGCCCAGAAUCCUGCGGGAGGCAGCAGAGCGGAAUAUUGCACAAUGGAGGAAACUAUGAUGCAGCGACGCCGCGUGAGUGAAGAAGUAAUUCGAUAUGUAAAGCUCUAUCAGCAGGGAAGAUAGUGACGGUACCUAACGAAGAAGCUCCGGCUAAAUACGUG